rnacentral:rRNA from 1 species
UACGGGAGGCAGCAGUAGGGAAUCUUCCACAAUGGACGAAAGUCUGAUGGAGCAACGCCGCGUGAGUGAAGAAGGGUUUCGGCUCGUAAAACUCUGUUGUUAGAGAAGAACGGCUGUGAGAGUAACUGCUCACAGUGUGACGGUAUCUAACUAGAAAGUCACGGCUAACUACGUGCCAGCAGCCGCGGUAAUACGUAGGUGGCAAACGUUGUCCGGAUUUAUUGGGCGUAAAGGGAGCGCAGGCGGCUUAUUAAGUCUGAUGUGAAAGCCUUCGGCUUAACCGGAGAAGUGCAUCGGAAACUGAUAAACUUGAGUGCAGAAAAGGAUAGUGGAACUUCAUGUGUAGCGGUGAAAUGCGUAGAUAUAUGAAGGAACACCAGUGGCGAAGGCGGCUAUCUGGUCUGUAACUGACGCUGAGGCUCGAAAGCAUGGGUAGCAAACAGGAUUAGAUACCCUGGUAGUCCAUGCCGUAAACGAUGAAUGCUAAGUGUUGGGAGGUUUCCGCCUCUCAGUGCCGCAGCUAACGCAUUAAGCAUUCCGCCUGGGGAGUACGACCGCAAGGUUGAAACUCAAAGGAAUUGACGGGGACCCGCACAAGCGGUGGAGCAUGUGGUUUAAUUCGAUGCUACGCGAAGAACCUUACCAGGACUUGACAUCCUCUGCCAAUCUAAGAGAUUAGAC